rnacentral:snRNA from 1 species
GGCAUUAAAUGAAGAGUGCUUGCCAUGCUCAAGAUGGUGGUUCUCCCAGGGCGAGGCCCAUCCACUGUUGGGGCCAGGCUGACCCCUGCAAUUUUCCUAAAUGCAAGUAAUUCAACUGCAUAAGGUGUAGGGGGGAGACACGGGGGCUAUUGAGACCUGUAGACCUCAC